rnacentral:rRNA from 1 species
UACGUAGGUGGCAAGCGUUGUCCGGAUUUAUUGGGUUUAAAGGGUGCGUAGGCGGUCCCAUAAGUCAGUGGUGAAAUACUCUAGCUUAACUAGAGGGGUGCCAUUGAUACUGCGGGACUUGAGUAGAGUUGAAGUGGGCGGAAUUGACGGUGUAGCGGUGAAAUGCUUAGAUAUCGUCAAGAACACCGGUAGUGAAGACAGCUCACUAAGCUCAAACUGACGCUGAGGCACGAAAGUGUGGGGAUCAAACAGG